AUUGAACGCUGGCGGCAGGCCUAACACAUGCAAGUCGAGCGGAUGAGAAGAGCUUGCUCUUCGAUUCAGCGGCGGACGGGUGAGUAAUGCCUAGGAAUCUGCCUGGUAGUGGGGGACAACGUUUCGAAAGGAACGCUAAUACCGCAUAAUGUCUACGGACCAAAGUGUGGGACCUUCGGGCCACAUGCUAUCGGAUGCGC
rnacentral:rRNA from 1 species